rnacentral:rRNA from 1 species
AACGAACGCUGGCGGCAUGCCUAACACAUGCAAGUCGAACGAGACCUUCGGGUCUAGUGGCGCACGGGUGCGUAACGCGUGGGAACCUGCCCUUAGGUUCGGAAUAACUCCCCGAAAGGGGUGCUAAUACCGGAUAAUGUCUUCGGACCAAAGAUUUAUCGCCUUUGGAUGGGCCCGCGUUGGAUUAGCUAGUUGGUAGGGUAAAAGCCUACCAAGGCGACGAUCCAUAGCUGGUCUGAGAGGAUGAUCAGCCACACUGGGACUGAGACACGGCCCAGACUCCUACGGGAGGCAGCAGUGGGGAAUAUUGGACAAUGGGCGAAAGCCUGAUGCAGCAAUGCCGCGUGAGUGAUGAAGGACUUAGGGUUGUAAAGCUCUUUUACCCGGGAUGAUAAUGACAGUACCGGGAGAAUAAGCUCCGGCUAACUCCGU